rnacentral:pre_miRNA from 1 species
AGUUUUCUGUAUCCGUGCUGAGAUUUCGUCAAACACUAGACUACAAAGGCUGAUGAGACUUCCAAGAUAGGUGAAGCG